rnacentral:rRNA from 1 species
UACGGGAGGCAGCAGUGGGGAAUAUUGCACAAUGGGCGAAAGCCUGAUGCAGCUAUGCCGCGUGUAUGAAGAAGGCCUUAGGGUUGUAAAGUACUUUCAUCGGGGAGGAAAAACAAAACUAAUAAUUUUAUUUCUUGACGUUACCCGAAAAAGAAGCACCGGCUAACUCCGUGCCAGCAGCCGCGGUAAUACGGAGGGUGCUAGCGUUAAUCAGAAUUACUGGGCGUAAAGAGCACGUAGGUGGUUUUUUUAAGUCAGAUGUGAAAUCCCUGGGCUUAACCUAGGAACUGCAUUUUGAAACUGAAAUACUAGAGUAUCGUAGAGGGAGGUAGAAUUCUAGGUGUAGCGGUGAAAUGCGUAGAUAUCUGGAGGAAUACCUGUGGCGAAAGCGGCCUCCUAAACGAAUACUGACACUGAGGGUGCGAAAGCGUGGGGAGCAAACAGGGAUUAGAUA